GACGAACGCUGGCGGCGUGCUUACACAUGCAAGUCCAACGGGAAGGCCCCAGCCUGGCGGGGUACACGAGCGGCGAACGGGGGAGGAACACGGGGGGGACCCGCCCCGCACCUCGGGAUUAGCCCGGGAAAACGGGGUUUAUACCGGAUAAGACCGCACCGGGAGGGGGGGGUGGAAAGUUUUUCGGUGUGGGAUGGGCCCGCGGCCUAUCAGCUUGGUGGUGGGGUAAUGGCCUACCAAGGCGGCGGCGGGUAGCCGGCCUGAGAGGGUGGACGGCCACAUUGGGACUGAGACACGGCCCAGACUCCUACGGGAGGCAGCAGUGGGGAAUAUUGCACAAUGGGCGGAAGCCUGAUGCAGCGACGCCGCGUGGGGGAUGACGGCCUUCGGGUUGUAAACUCCUUUCACCAUCGACGAAGGUCUUCUGACGGUAGAUGGAGAAGAAGCACCGGCUAACUACGUG
rnacentral:rRNA from 1 species